rnacentral:rRNA from 1 species
UGGGGGAUAUUGCACAAUGGGCGAAAGCCUGAUGCAGCGACGCCGCGUGGGGGAUGAAGGCCUUCGGGUUGUAAACUUCUUUUGCUCUGAACAAGGCAUGCUAAUGGGUGUGUUGAGUGUAGGGGUUGAUUAGCGCCGGCUAACUACGUGCCAGCAGCCGCGGUAAUACGUAGGGCGCGAGCGUUGUCCGGAAUUAUUGGGCGUAAAGGGCUUGUAGGUGGCUGGUUGCGUCUGUCGUGAAAGCUCAUGGCUUAACUGUGGGUUUGCGGUGGGUACGGGCUGGCUUGAGUGCAGUAGGGGAGGCUGGAAGUCCUGGUGUAGCGGUGGAAUGCGCAGAUAUCAGGAGGAAUACCGGUGGCGAAGGCGGGUCUCUGGGCUGUUACUGACACUGAGGAGCGAAAGCAUGGGGAGCGAACAGG